rnacentral:rRNA from 1 species
CGGCGGACGGGUGAGUAACACGUGGGUAACCUACCUAUAAGACUGGGACAACUUCGGGAAACCGGAGCUAAUACCGGAUAAGAUAUCGAACCGCAUGGUUCGAUAGUGAAAGAUGGUUUUGCUAUCACUUAUAGAUGGACCCGCGCCGUAUUAGCUAGUUGGUGAGGUAACGGCUCACCAAGGCAACGAUACGUAGCCACCUGAGAGGGUGAUCGGCCACACUGGAACUGAGACACGGUCCAGACUCCUACGGGAGGCAGCAGC